rnacentral:rRNA from 1 species
UACAGAGACUGCAAGCGUUAUUCGGAUUCACUGGGCGUAAAGGGCGCGUAGGCGGCUUACCAAGUCAGGCGUGAAAUUCCCGGGCUCAACCUGGGGGCUGCGCUUGAUACUGGUGAGCUUGAAUGCGGGAGAGGAUAGUGGAAUUCCCAGUGUAGAGGUGAAAUUCGUAGAUAUUGGGAAGAACACCGGUGGCGAAGGCGGCUAUCUGGCCCGUAAUUGACGCUGAGGCGCGAAAGCGUGGGGAGCAAACAGG